GUCUAUGAUCUUAACCUGUAAGAAGUGGGAGCAGCUGGACCCGCCCCAGAGGACCCUGUACUAGGAGGUGACACCAGAGACCUGCAGACCCCUCGUCACUGGGGCGUGCAAACCGGAGUUGACCUACCAGCUGAAGCAGCGAUAAAAGAGCAGAAGACACCUUUGCCAAAACUGCUGUCCAGGUGACAAAGUAAAAACCAAGGCCAGCCAGCCUUGUCCCUGGAAAGACUAACUCAGGGAGCCAGAAGUUCCUCCAGGUUGAGGGACAAGAGAAUGAUGGUGAAGCUGUGUUGCUUUCCCAGGUGAGCCUUGAUUAUUUCCUCUGUGCUUUCUCAGCUGCUUUGGCCUUCUGUAACAAGGGCUUCUCCGAGAGCAUGUCACUAGUUUUCUAGAGGUUAAACAAGAGCUAAGACAAACAAAACAAAACAUAGCUUAUCUAAUCUAAUGAGAAACCCAGAAAAAAAUGUUUUGAUGAAUACAAUGUAUUAAAAUAUAAAAUAUGUAGCUCCUUCGACAUGUUAAUUCAAUUCUAGAAAUCUUCAGAAAUAUUCUUAUAUUAUGCAGAGAUGUGCGUGCGAAGACUAAUCGCUGCAGUUUUGUUUUUAUGUGUGAAACGUUGAGAACAAUCUAAAUGUUUAUCAGUAGGAAGUAAGUUAUGGUACAUCUGUUCUAUGAAAUACUAUGAAGCAAUAAGGUAUCUCUGUCUGUACUGAUAUCAAAACAUCUCUAAGAUACAGUAUUUAGUAAAAGAGAAACUUUCAGGAAACAAAACUACAUCUAGAAGUAUAAGCCUAAAACUGUUAAUAGU
rnacentral:lncRNA from 1 species